rnacentral:rRNA from 1 species
AGUGAACGCUGGCGGUAGGCCUAACACAUGCAAGUCGAACGGCAGCACAGUAAGAGCUUGCUCUUACGGGUGGCGAGUGGCGGACGGGUGAGGAAUACAUCGGAAUCUACUUUUUCGUGGGGGGUAACGUAGGGAAACUUACGCUAAUACCGCAUACGACCUACGGGUGAAAGCAGGGGAUCUUCGGACCUUGCGCGAUUGAAUGAGCCGAUGUCGGAUUAGCUAGUUGGCGGGGUAAAGGCCCACCGAGGCGACGAUGCGUAGCUGGUCUGAGAGGAUGAUCAGCCACACUGGAACUGAGACACGGUCCAGACUCCUACGGGAGGCAGCAGUGGGGAAUAUUGGACAAAGGGCGCAAGCCUGAUCCAGCCAUACCGCGUGAGUGAAGAAGGCCUUCGGGUUGUAAAGCCCUUUUGUUGGGAAAGAAAAGCAGCAGGUUAAUACCCCGCUGUUCUGACGGUACCCAAAGAAUAAGCACCGGCUAACUUCGUG